AGAGUUUGAUCCUGGCUCAGGAUGAACGCUGGCGGCGUGCUUAACACAUGCAAGUCGAACGGGGUACCCCCAAAGGAGUUUUCGGACAACUGCGGGGAAUACCUAGUGGCGGACGGGUGAGUAACGCGUGAGUAACCUGCCUUGGAGUGGGGAAUAACAGCUGGAAACAGCUGCUAAUACCGCAUAAUGCAGUUGGGUCGCAUGGCUCUGACUGCCAAAGAUUUAUCGCUCUGAGAUGGACUCGCGUCUGAUUAGCUAGUUGGUGGGGCAACGGCCCACCAAGGCGACGAUCAGUAGCCGGACUGAGAGGUUGGCCGGCCACAUUGGGACUGAGGCACGGCCCAGACUCCUACGGGAGGCAGCAGUGGGGAAUAUUGGGCAAUGGGCGCAAGCCUGACCCAGCAACGCCGCGUGAAGGAAGAAGGCUUUCGGGUUGUAAACUUCUUUUCUCAGGGACGAAGCCAGUGACGGUACCUGAGGAAUAAGCCACGGCUAACUACGUGCCAGCAGCCGCGGUAAUACGUAGGUGGCAAGCGUUAUCCGGAUUUACUGGGUGUAAAGGGCGUGUAGGCGGGAAAGCAAGUCAGAUGUGAAAACCAUGGGCUCAACCUGUGGCCUGCAUUUGAAACUGUUUUUCUUGAGUACUGGAGAGGCAGACGGAAUUCCUAGUGUAGCGGUGAAAUGCGUAGAUAUUAGGAGGAACACCAGUGGCGAAGGCGGUCUGCUGGACAGCAACUGACGCUGAGGCGCGAAAGCGUGGGGAGCAAACAGGAUUAGAUACCCUGGUAGUCCGCGCUGUAAACGAUGGAUACUAGGUGUGGGGGGACUGACCCCCUCCGUGCCGCAGUUAACACAAUAAGUAUCCCACCUGGGGAGUACGAUCGCAAGGUUGAAACUCAAAGGAAUUGACGGGGGCCCGCACAAGCGGUGGAGUAUGUGGUUUAAUUCGAAGCAACUCGAAGAACCUUACCAGGCCUUGACAUCGUGCUGACCGGGGCAUAAUAGCCCUUUUCCUUCGGGACAGCACAGACAGGUGGUGCAUGGUUGUCGUCAGCUCGUGUCGUGAGAUGUUGGGUUAAGUCCCGCAACGAGCGCAACCCCUGCCUUCAGUAGCCAGCACGUAGAGGUGGGCACUCUGGAGGGACUGCCGGGGAUGACCCGGAGGAAGGCGGGGAUGACGUCAAAUCAUCAUGCCCCUUAUGGCCUGGGCUACACACGUGCUACAAUGGCGCACACAGAGGGAAGCGAAGAGGUGACUUGGAGCAGACCCCAAAAAAGGCGCCUCAGUUCGGAUUGCAGCCUGCAACUCGGCUGCAUGAAGCUGGAAUCGCUAGUAAUCGCGGAUCAGAAUGCCGCGGUGAAUACGUUCCCGGGUCUUGCACACACCGCCCGUCA
rnacentral:rRNA from 1 species